rnacentral:sRNA from 1 species
ACAACACGGGUCGCGUGACAGAGUCCC